rnacentral:rRNA from 1 species
UACGAAGGGGGCUAGCGUUGUUCGGAAUUACUGGGCGUAAAGGGCGCGUAGGCGGUCAGCACAAGUCAGUUGUGAAAUCUCCGGGCUUAACCCGGAAAGGUCAACUGAUACUGUGCGACUAGAGUGCGGAAGGGGCAACUGGAAUUCUCGGUGUAGCGGUGAAAUGCGUAGAUAUCGAGAGGAACACCUGCGGCGAAGGCGGGUUGCUGGGCCGACACUGACGCUGAUGCGCGAAAGCCAGGGGAGCGAACGGG